UUUACUUUGGCAGAGAAAUGCAUUAAAUUUAGAAUUUAAUUAUAUAGUGUGUACUAUAGGUAAAA
rnacentral:tRNA from 1 species